UUGUUUUGGAUUUACACACUACAAACACAGAAACCCCAUGGUCUGAAUGACAACUGCAAUUGGUCUGCUGUUUUAUAAGUAAUUGAAAUGUUUGCUCUCUUUUUCUCUGUUUGCUAAUGUUACCAUAGUCAAUUUAUGUGAGGCAUUGAGAUCGAUUGUGGCAGGGCCUGCUAUUACUUACAGGAUCGCACCCGGUGCAGAAUGAUUUUUGUUGAGAUCUAACAGGUGUAUUAGUUCUUGGUUUGCAAAAGGAUUUAAAUUUUCCUUUUGCAAAACAGCAUCAGAGCUGACAAGUAUUUGUGGCAUACCCCAGCCUUAGGCACGACUCAAGGUCUUAGUUGACCUUCCACUUACCAAAAGGACAGCUGGUUUCCACAUGCUCUACCUGACAAGGUGGCUUAAUUCUUUGGACCACUGAUGAAGACAAUUGUCGAAACGCGUUUGGUCUUUCUUUGACACUUUUUACUUUUAUCAGUUUUGGGCAUACUGUACAUCCCUUUUCAACCAAGCCUCUGUCUGUGCACUCUGUAAACUAUAUUAAUAUUGUGUUUAUUUGUUUCCAUACAUGGUGUAAGACGCAGAGGAAUUGUCAUAGUUCUGUAUUAUUUUGGGAAUUGCAGUUUCCAAGCCCAGUUCUGUGUAUUAACUUUCAGAGUGUGACUUUCAGGCCAGAAUAAGCCUCACAGCUGGUUUUAGCUUCUGAUUAGUUUUUAACACAUUGUACCAAUAAAAUUACAG